AAUUUUCAACAAUGGAUCUCUUGGCUCUCGCAUCGAUGAAGAACGCAGCGAAAUGCGAUAAGUAAUGUGAAUUGCAGAUUUCAGUGAAUCAUCGAAUCUUUGAACGCACCUUGCGCUCUUUGGUAUUCCGAAGAGCAUGCCUGUUUGAGUGUCA
rnacentral:rRNA from 1 species